AUUGGUUAAUCCUAUUGAAUACAUGCACCCUCCCCCCACACCCUAUCUCUAUAUUGGUGGCGGCAGGGGGAAGGAGUGGGAGCCAAUGCCCAUGAGGAAUUGGCUUUAAGCAAGUCAGUCUGCUAAAAAAUUACUGGUGCAGGGGAAUGCGUGUAGUCUAUAGCAUUAACCCAGUGGUCCCCAACCUUUUGGGGCUGCCAGGAGCCCGGGAGCGGGGCUGCUCAAGCGCCACCCAUCUAGGGGGGUACCACGCAUGCACUGCGCACAGGGCCGGAUUAAGGGGGAGACUAGCCUGGCAGCUGCGGGGGGCGCCUGAUGGCAGCUGUAAGGGGCGCCGCAUGCCCGGGACCGGGGGCCGUGCGGUGCCCCUUAGAGCUGUCAUCAGGCACCACGCACCCAACUGCAGCUGUAAGGUACGCAGCACGCCAGGGGCAGAGCCGAGCAUGCAUCGCGCGCCCACUGCCUGGGGCGCAGGAAUGGCUCAAGCUGGCCCUGCCAUGCCCGGGGUUCAGGGCGCAAGAAUGGCUUGGGCCAGCCCUGGUCACUUGGUGGGCACACACAUGCCCCAGCUCUCCCCUGGCCACUGGGCAGGGCCAGGUCAAGGCGUGGCCUCCCUGGCCUGCCCCGGGUCUCUGCCUUCCAGCUGUCAGAGGGUGGGGAGUUGGGCUGGACCAAAGCUGGGCUGGCUCUAUCUUUCUGGCAGGGAGUGGGAAGGGAGCGCUGCUCCUGGCCCUCUCCCUCUGGCCACAAGGGGGGAGGCCACAUGGCUCUGGCCCCUUGCUGGUAAGGGUGCCCCCAGACCAUCAGUGAUGCCACACAAGUUCUGCGCACUGCCUACCCAAGCCCCCACAAGGCUUUGCAGCUCCCGCACCCCCCCCUGCAAGGCCACGUGGUUCCCACGUCCCUGCUCCCCCCAGAACCCCAUCCUCAGAAGUUCCCAUGCCUCCACUCACCACACUCGAGCUCUCAUGAGGCUGCGCAGCUCCCCCACGCCACCAAGCCCCCACAGCUCCUGCAUAUCCACCUUCCCCCACACAAGCCCCUGCAAUGCUGUGUGGCUCCCGCAUUCUCCUCCCCCCAAAAGUUGCACGGCUCAAACAUACCCCAGCCUCAAAGAGGUCACACAGCUCCCAUGCCCCUCACCCGAGUCCACUACCCCGCACAGCAGAGGAGCCAUGCAGUUCAAUUUAAAUUCCAGAAGCUCCUAUCCACAUGGUGGCUGCUGGAGGGAUGCUCAGGGGCUGGCAGUGUUUGUGGGAGGAGUUGACUGCUGGCCCAUGCGCACAGAGCUGAUUGGGGGUGGGGAGAGGCAUCAAGGUCUGGAUGCAGGGAGAGGGUUUAACCUCCAGCUUGUGUGCCAUGGAGCCAAUAGGGGAUCAUGGGGUUGGGGAGGGGACAAAGUAGGGCAGCUGUGUGGCCUCAUCCCAGAACGCUGAGGAGUGGGAAAUCCGCAUGCCCUGGGUGCCACACAGCCUGUGGCUCCUGCCACCCCAGGCUUUGCCAGGGCAGGUCAGAGAAUGGAGGAGGCUGCUUGGCUUCACAGCUCCCACGGAGCAUGGGGAAAAAGAAGGACCAAAUGGCUGAGGGCAGAAGAAGGGGCUGCGGGACGCAGAGUAACAUUACUCUGUUGCCCUGCAGGAAAAAACUUCUUAAAGUAUAGUAAGAUAUUCAUGACUCCAGUUCUGUAUUUAUAGCCGUGACUGUCUAAGGCAUUCUGUGUUCAUUCUGUAGUCUUGGAAGGUGGCUCAAGAUGUAAUGCUAGUGUGUCCUAUAUGCAUAAUACCACAGUGCCAUCAUAGUCCACUCAAAAGUAACACUGAGAAUGUGGUUCUCACUUAGCAUGGUGUGUGUGUUGAUUCUUUGUUUUGAUUCUUUGCUGUUUAGAACUCAGCCACCCCCUAAACUACCAGUGGGUCCCAAUCACAAGUUUGCAAAUAACUACUACUGUACUCGUGAUGGACGCAGGGAGUCCUAUCCUCCAGUUAUUGUUGUGUCUCCACAGAAAUCCCUUGCAUCAGGUGCUCAAGGUGUUAGCUCGGACUGUGCAGUAGCAACAACCAAGAGAAACCCAGUGACACCAGGAGUUCCACUUGAGAAGUGGGAGCUGUCCAAAGAUCAACCUUACCUGUGACCUGGCCAAGUAUGAAGAGAAGUUUGAAUAAGAUUGGACUUCAUAUGAUUAACUGAAAAGAAGCAGCCUGGCUGGAGAUCCAGGGAUAGGGCUCUAGCUUCAGUAAUGCUGUACAGAAUUUAGCCUAUUGGAAAGGAGACCAUCUUGCUGGGCAUGACUCAUUAAACGUAUUUAUCUAAUCUAUUCUCAA